rnacentral:rRNA from 1 species
GACGAACGCUGGCGGCAUGCCUAAUACAUGCAAGUCGAGCGAACAGAUGAAGUGCUUGCACUUCUGACGUUAGCGGCGAACGGGUGAGUAACACGUAAGGAAUCUUCCUAUAAGCGGGGGAUAACAUUCGGAAACGGGUGCUAAUACCGCACAAUAUCUUCUUCCGCAUGGAAGAAGAUUGAAAGACGGCUCUGCUGUCACUUAUAGAUGACCUUGCGGUGCAUUAGUUAGUUGGUGGGGUAAUGGCCUACCAAGACGAUGAUGAAUAGCCGGCCUGAGAGGGUGAUCGGCCACAUUGGGACUGAGACACGGCCCAAACUCCGACGGGAGGCAGCAGUAGGGAAUAUUCCGCAAUGGGCGAAAGCCUGACGGAGCAAUGCCGCGUGAGUGAAGAAGGCCUUCGGGUCGUAAAACUCUGUUAUAAGAGAAGAACAAAUUGUAGAGUAACUGCUACAGUCUUGACGGUAUCUUAUCAGAAAGCCACGGCUAACUACGUGCCAGCCGCCGCCGUAA